GACGAACGCUGGCGGCGUGCUUAACACAUGCAAGUCGAACGGAAAGGCCCUGCUUUUGUGGGGUGCUCGAGUGGCGAACGGGUGAGUAACACGUGAGUAACCUGCCCUUGACUUUGGGAUAACUUCAGGAAACUGGGGCUAAUACCGGAUAGGAGCUCCUGCUGCAUGGUGGGGGUUGGAAAGUUUCGGCGGUUGGGGAUGGACUCGCGGCUUAUCAGCUUGUUGGUGGGGUAGUGGCUUACCAAGGCUUUGACGGGUAGCCGGCCUGAGAGGGUGACCGGCCACAUUGGGACUGAGAUACGGCCCAGACUCCUACGGGAGGCAGCAGUGGGGAAUAUUGCACAAUGGGCGGAAGCCUGGUGCAGCAACGCCGCGUGCGGGAUGACGGCCUUCGGGUUGUAAACCGCUUUCGCCUGUGACGAAGCGUGAGUGACGGUAAUGGGUAAAGAAGCACCGGCUAACUACGUGCCAGCAGCCGCGGUGAUACGUAGGGUGCGAGCGUUGUCCGGAUUUAUUGGGCGUAAAGGGCUCGUAGGUGGUUGAUCGCGUCGGAAGUGUAAUCUUGGGGCUUAACCCUGAGCGUGCUUUCGAUACGGGUUGACUUGAGGAAGGUAGGGGAGAAUGGAAUUCCUGGUGGAGCGGUGGAAUGCGCAGAUAUCAGGAGGAACACCAGUGGCGAAGGCGGUUCUCUGGGCCUUUCCUGACGCUGAGGAGCGAAAGCGUGGGGAGCGAACAGGCUUAGAUACCCUGGUAGUCCACGCUGUAAACGGUGGGUACUAGGUGUGGGGUCCAUUCCACGGGUUCCGUGCCGUAGCUAACGCUUUAAGUACCCCGCCUGGGGAGUACGGCCGCAAGGCUAAAACUCAAAGGAAUUGACGGGGCCCCGCACAAGCGGCGGAGCAUGCGGAUUAAUUCGAUGCAACGCGUAGAACCUUACCUGGGUUUGACAUGGAUCGGGAGCGCUCAGAGAUGGGUGUGCCUCUUUUGGGGUCGGUUCACAGGUGGUGCAUGGCUGUCGUCAGCUCGUGUCGUGAGAUGUUGGGUUAAGUCCCGCAACGAGCGCAACCCUUGUUCACUGUUGCCAGCACGUUAUGGUGGGGACUCAGUGGAGACCGCCGGGGUCAACUCGGAGGAAGGUGGGGAUGACGUCAAGUCAUCAUGCCCCUUAUGUCCAGGGCUUCACGCAUGCUACAAUGGCUGGUACAGAGAGUGGCGAGCCUGUGAGGGUGAGCGAAUCUCGGAAAGCCGGUCUCAGUUCGGAUUGGGGUCUGCAACUCGACCUCAUGAAGUCGGAGUCGCUAGUAAUCGCAGAUCAGCAACGCUGCGGUGAAUACGUUCCCGGG
rnacentral:rRNA from 1 species